UAGGGAAUCUUCCGCAAUGGACGCAAGUCUGACGGAGCAACGCCGCGUGAGUGAAGAAGGAUUUCGGUUCGUAAAACUCUGUUGUUAGAGAAGAACAGCGCAUAGAGUAACUGUUAUGCGUGUGACGGUAUCUAACCAGAAAGCCACGGCUAACUACGUGCCAGCAGCCGCGGUAAUACGUAGGUGGCAAGCGUUGUCCGGAUUUAUUGGGCGUAAAGCGAGCGCAGGCGGUCAAUUAAGUCUGAUGUGAAAGCCCCCGGCUCAACCGGGGAGGGUCAUUGGAAACUGGUUGACUUGAGGGGAGAAGAGGGGGGUGGAAUUCCAUGUGGAGCGGUGAAAUGCGGAGAUAUAUGGAGGAACACCAGUGGCGAAGGCGACUCUCUGGUCUGUAACUGACGCUGGGGCUCGAAAGCGGGGGUAGCAAACAGG
rnacentral:rRNA from 1 species